rnacentral:rRNA from 1 species
GACGAACGCUGGCGGUGUGCUUAACACAUGCAAGUCGAGCGAGGUGUCUCUUUCGGGAGAUAACCGAGCGGCGUACGGGUGAGUAACACGUGGGUAAUCUGUCCUGCACUCGGGGUUAACCUUGGGAAACUGGGGCUAAUACCGGAUGGGCACUCGGCUCUCGCAUGGGGGUGGGUGUAAAGCGGUUACGGUGGUGCAGGGUGUGCCCGCGGCCUAUCAGCUGGUUGGUGGGGUACGGGCCUACCAAGGCGACGACGGGUAGCCGGCCUGAGAGGGUGAUCGGCCACACUGGGACUGAGACACGGCACAGACUCCUACGGGAGGCAGCAGUGGGGAAUUUUGGGCGAUGGGCGGAAGCCUGACGCAGCAACGCCGCGUGGGGGAAGACGGCCUUCGGGUUGUAAACCUCUUUCGGUUCUGACGAAGCUCUGCGUGUUCGUGGGGUGACGGUAGGGGCAGAAGAAGCACCGGCUAACUACGUGCCAGCAGCCGCCGUAA